rnacentral:rRNA from 1 species
GGUUCGAUCAGCAUUUAGAUUAACGCUUUUGGCGGGAUGCUUUACACAUGGCAGCCUGAAUGCUAUAACGACUUCGGUCUGGUAGCGAGUGGCGAACGGGGAGUAAUGUAUCGGAACGUGCCUAGUAGCGGGGGAUACGCCAGUGUAGCUACACACUGCAUACGCCCUUCGGGGGAGCGGGGACCUUCGGGCCUCGCACUAUUAGAGUACGAUACGGAUUAAUUAAGAAGGUGGGUAACGCUCACCAAGGCGACGAUCCGUGGAGCGGUUGAGAGGACGACCAGCCGCCAGCACUUGGGACUGAGACACGGCCCAGACUCCUCACGAGGCAGCAGUGGGGAAUUUUGCACAAUGGGGGAACCCUUGAUCCAGCCAUCCCGCGCAGAGAAGCGGCCUUCGUUGUAAAGCACUUUGGCAGGAAAGAAAACGGCACGGGAUAAUACCCUGUGCAACUGACGGUACCUGCAGAAUAAGCAACACAACUACGUGCCAGCAGCCGCGGUAAUACGUAGGUGCAAGUGUUAAUCGGAAUUACUGGGCGUAAAGCGGUGCAGGCGGUUCGGAAAGAAAGAUGUGAAAUCCCAGAGCUUAACUUUGGAACUGCAUUUUUAACUACCGAGCUAGAGUGUGUCAGAGGGAGGUGGAAUUCCGCGUGUAGCAGUGAAAUGCGUAGAUAUGCGGAGGAACACCGAUGGCGAAGGCAGCCUCCUGGGAUAACACCGACGCUCAGCGACGAAAGCGUGGGGAGCAAACAGAUUAGAUACCCUGGUAGUCCACCAAACGAUGUCAACUAGCUGUUGGGGUCUUUCGGGCCUUGGUAGCGGAAGACGAUAAGUUGACCGCCUGGGGAGUACAUUCAAGAUUAAAACUCAAAGGAAUUGACGGGGACCGCGUACAAGCGGUGGAUAGUGGAGAUUAAUUCGAUGCAACGCGAAAAACCUUACCUACCCUUUUUGACAUGUCUGGAAUCCCGAAGAGAUUUGGGGAGUGCUCGCAAGGAGAACCGGAACAUAGUGGGCGCGAGAAAUGGUUGCUGCCAGCUCGUGUCGAGAUGUUGGGUUAGUCCGCAACGAGCGCAACCCUGGAUGGCGCCGAGCUGCUACGAAAGGGCACUUCCCGAUGAUUUACCGGUGACAAACCAGAGGAAGGUGGGGAUGACGUCAAGUCCUUCAUGGCCCUUAUGGGUAGGCUUCACACGUCAUACAAUGGUCGGGACAGAGGGUCGCCAACCCGCGAGGGGAGCCAAUCCCAGAAACCUCGAUCGUAGUCCGGAUCGCAGUCUGCAACUCGACUGCGUGAAGUCGGAAUCGCACAGGACUCGUGGAUCAGCAUGUCAUGCGCGGUGAAUACGUUCCCCGGCCUGCAGACACCGCCCGUCACACCGGAGAGUAAUACUUAUAUGCAGUUAGCCUCCAACCGGGGAGGGCGAUUACCACGGGGAGAUUCAGCAGCGGAUCGGGGUGAAGUCGUAACAAGGUGAGCCUGAGAUACCGGAUGUCUC